CAGGGAGCCUGAAGAUACGAGGAGCACAGAAUUUGGAAUGAGCAGAGUGACAGGAGAAGAUAUUGGGAAGCGAGCCUGAGACCAUGUCUGACAACCAAGAUGUUAGCAAUCCUUAGAAAGAAUUGGUGGUUAAAAUAGAAGCUACCACUGCAUAAUGUGUUUCCUCAACCUUGAUCCACUCCAGGAUGUACUGGUUUCUACCAGUGUUAAUUUUCCAUUCUGCCUUCACAGUCACCCUCCAGAGAAGUGUGAACCCCCCCAUACACACACACUUUAAGAAAAAUGUCACGACACCACUUCCAGGCCUAUGACUUUUCAAAAGGAAUUCAAGCCAAUAUGAGUCAACUUCAUCUUCUUGAUCGACCAGACUCUAUCUUCAAAACUAGAUGAGUGUUCUAUGAUUUCUCUCCUGGUAGUUAACAAAUCUCUUUUAAAAUACUAUACAUGUUUAGUAUUAAAGCUCAUGGAUCAAACUCAA